UACGUAGGGACCAAGCGUUGUUCGGAUUUACUGGGCGUAAAGGGCGCGUAGGCGGCAUUGUUAGUCACUUGUGAAAUCUCCGGGCUUAACUCGGAAUGGCCAAGUGAUACUGCAGUGCUAGAGUGCAGAAGGGGCAAUCGGAAUUCUUGGUGUAGCGGUGAAAUGCGUAGAUAUCAAGAGGAACACCUGAGGUGAAGACGGGUUGCUGGGCUGACACUGACGCUGAGGCGCGAAAGCCAGGGGAGCAAACGGG
rnacentral:rRNA from 1 species